GGAUCGCAGUCUGCAACUCGACUGCGUGAGGGUGGAGUCGCUAGUAAUCGCGGAUCAGCAUGCCGCGGUGAAUACGUUCCCGGGCCUUGUACACACCGCCCGUCACACCAUGGGAGUUUGUAACGCCCAAAGUCGGUGGCCUAACCUUUAUGGAGGGAGCCGCCUAAGGCGGGACAGAUGACUGGGGUGAAGUCGUAACAAGGUAAC
rnacentral:rRNA from 1 species